rnacentral:rRNA from 1 species
UACGUAGGGACCAAGCGUUGUUCGGAUUUACUGGGCGUAAAGGGCGCGUAGGCGGCGUGGUAAGUCACUUGUGAAAUCUCUGAGCUUAACUCAGAACGGUCAAGUGAUACUGCUGUGCUAGAGUGCGGAAGGGCAAUCGGAAUUCUUGGUGUAGCGGUGAAAUGCGUAGAUAUCAAGAGGAACACCUGAGGUGAAGGCAGGUCUCUGGGCUGACACUGACGCUCAUGCACGAAAGCGUGGGGAGCAAACAGG